UACGGAGGGGGCAAGCGUUGUUCGGAAUUAUUGGGCGUAAAGGGCGCGUAGGCGGCCCGCUAAGUCGAACGUGAAAUCCCCGGGCUCAACCCGGGAACUGCGUCCGAUACUGGCAGGCUUGAAUUCGGGAGAGGGAUGCGGAAUUCCAGGUGUAGCGGUGAAAUGCGUAGAUAUCUGGAGGAACACCGGUGGCGAAGGCGGCAUCCUGGACCGGCAUUGACGCUGAGGCGCGAAAGCGUGGGGAGCAAACGGG
rnacentral:rRNA from 1 species